GGUCAUGAGUACCAGCAUCAAGCCCCGGCUAGCUGGUCGGCAACCCUCCAUCCGCGGUGGGGUGCCCCGGGUGAUGACCGGGUUGUCCGAGAAACAGUUCGGAUGACAAGCGCGGGUC
rnacentral:ncRNA from 2 species